CCUACGGGUGGCAGCAGUGAGGAAUAUUGGUCAAUGGGCUUACGCCUGAACCAGCCAAGUCGCGUGAGGGACGACUGCCCUAUGGGUUGUAAACCUCUUUUGUCAGGGAGCAACGCCGGCUACGUGUAGCCGGACUGAGAGUACCUGAAGACAAAGCAUCGGCUAACUCCGGUCCAGCAGCCGCGGUAAUACGGAGGAUGCGAGCGUUAUCCGGUUUUAUUGGGUUUAAAGGUGGCGUAGUCGGAAUGCCAAGACAGCGUGAAAAUCGCGGGGCACACGCACGCUCCGCCGUUGAACCUGGCGUUCUUGCGUGGGGGAGAAGUAGGCGGAAUGCGUGGUGUAGCGGUGAAAUGCAUAGAUAUCACGCAGAACUCCGAUUGCGAAGGCAGCAUACCGGCGCCCAACUGACGCUGAAGCACGAAAGCGUGGGUAUCGAACAGGAUUAGAUACCCCUGUAGUC
rnacentral:rRNA from 1 species